GGGAGUUUGGCCGAGUGGUUAAGGCGUCGUGUUUAGGUACACCCGGCGAAAGUUGGGUUACCAUAAAUCCCGCGAUGGGAAACCGCGCAGGUUCGAAUCCUGCAGCUCUCA
rnacentral:tRNA from 1 species